rnacentral:rRNA from 1 species
GAUGAACGCUAGCGGCAGGCUUAACACAUGCAAGUCGAGGGGUAGGUUACUUCGGUAAUUGAGACCGGGCGCACGGGUGCGUAACGCGUAUACAAUCUACCUUUUACAGAGGGAUAGCCCAGAGAAAGUUUGGAUUAAAUACCUCAUAGUAUUUUUGAAUCGCAUGAUUUGAUUAUUAAAGUUCCAACGGUAAAAGAUGAGUAUGCGUCCCAUUAGCUAGAUGGUAAGGUAACGGCUUACCAUGGCUACGAUGGGUAGGGGUCCUGAGAGGGAGAUCCCCCACACUGGUACUGAGACACGGACCAGACUCCUACGGGAGGCAGCAGUGAGGAAUAUUGGACAAU